GGCAAUCUUACCCAUUUGAAAGUCCUUGAUCUGCACAAAAAUAAUCUCAUUGAUUCAAUUCCAUAUUCCCUGGGUAGAAUCACUGGUUUGAAAUCCUUAGAUUUGAGUGGGAAUAAAUUAAGUGGUUCAGUACCCGGUUUAAUACUUCCAAAUUUGAAUGUUGUAGACUUAAGUGGAAAUUGGCUAAUGGGUUCAAUUCCAUCUACCCUAGGGAGAUGCAGUAGUUUAAUGAAAAUAGAUUUUAGUCGAAACCGUCUGUCGGGGGUAAUGCCCGAUUCAAUUGAGGGUCUUAAAAACCUGAUCCUGAUGGAUUUAAGCUACAAUCGUCUGACAGCACUACCACUUGCAUCAUCUAUGAGAAAUAUGAAUUCUCUCCAAGUAUUGAUCCUGAGAGGGAAUCCAUUAAAUACAGUUAUUCCUAGCGAUUACUUUGAAGGAAUGAAGAGUUUAACAACAUUAGUUUUAUCGAACAUGAAGUUACAGGGUGAGAUACCGGAGUCAUUGGGAGAGUUACCAAAUGUUCGUGUGAUUUAUCUUGACGGAAAUCAAUUACAGGGUACAAUUCCAACAAAGUUGAAGGAGUUGAAGCAUCUUACUGAGUUGAGAUUAAAUGACAAUCAACUAACUGGAGCGAUUCCGUUUGGGAGAGAAACUAUUUGGAGGAUGAGAAGAAAGCUUAGGCUUGAGAAUAACAAAGGACUAUGUUACAUUGAUGGAUUGGAGGAUGAUUCAAGUAUUAGCUUGUGUCACCGUACCAACGCAUCCGUAAAUAUAUCUACUUCCCCAACAAAAACACAACUCCAACAUCUUUCUAAUGCGCCAACCUAUAUAUCUACUACUGCUGCACUUGAUACCUCACAUGCUUCCCACUUUCAACUAAGACUAAUUUUUGUCUUUUUAUCAUCUAUUAUUAAUUUCCUUUAAUUUAUUGUCUUAUGUAUCUAUAUUGAUUAAACUAACUCACAAGUUAUGUAAAAAAAAAAUUAAUUAUAUGUAUGUGUAUGUGUGUUACAAGUAGUAUGAGAGAUGAGAUGAUGGGCUAGUAAAUAAGGCACCUCCCACUGCAUUCUGGAAUUUGAUGAGAUGGCACUUCUCCUUCAUUCUCCCGUUCUGGACCACGUCAUUUACAUUUAUGUCCACAUCAUCCAACAAUUCCUGCAUCAAGAACUAAAAUAAGUAUAACAUUAGCUUUAGGUAGACAAAGUUAAUCAAAUUAUUUAUGAGUAAGGAAAAAGUAAAUACAUACAACUUUUCAUCUGAAACUAAUUCUUCUCCUUUUGCUCCAUACUUUUAUGUGGAUCUUCUCCCUCAAUGGCGCCUCUUCUACAACAAGCUAUAAUUCUUCAUUCCCCGGGUUUUCUUCAUCAUCAUUUAUAUUUAAAGUCAUCAACUAAAUCUACUUAAUUACUUGCUUUUCUUCUUCUCUCCCGUAAAUAAUAAGGGUUGCUGUGACGUUUUCCUUCAACAUUCUCAGCUCAUUUUGGAGUGUAAUCGUGAGUAGAGCAGCUCCACACAUUUUCCUCAUCCGAUCCCUUGGUUGCAGAUCUAUUAAUGUCCAAUGCUCCACUAGAAACCUCUCAUUAUCUUUCUUGACAGGAUUAAAUUUCAUUUCUACAACAAUCUGUCCUAUAUAUUUCUUGUUUUGCGGGUCAUUUCGAUUAAUCUUCUUCAUCAAAUCAAGCCUUUUCCUUAAUUUCAUCCGAAGUUACCUCACUCAGAGCAACCACUUGCAUCCCCAACUUGUCCUGUGUCCCAACUUGUCUAAUAUAUAUGCUAUUUUUUUAAUUCUGUUACGAUUCUUUAUAUAUUUAUGAAAAUUCUAAAUAAGAGAGAUUAUAUCUUUUCCGGGUCAAACAUGCAAUUGGAGGACUUGAGACUAGAAAAAUUCUCGUUGUACUCAGAGUUUAAGAUUUCUCAUUUAAUUGGAAAUUCUCUUUGCUGGAAGUCCCUCUCCAUUUCGGCUGAUUGUAGGUAGGGUUUAGAUAACCCAAACAAGUCCAUUUUUCGGGUUUGAGUGCCCUUAUCACUUCCACACGCAGUAUAUCCACAGGCUUCUUCGUAACCCCUCCAUGCCAUAAGAAACAAAAACGAUAGGGAGAGAAAGUCCCCUUAUAAAUUAUCAUUCACAGUUCCAUCCUUACAUACGAUUCCAAUGUUGUUCAUGAAAAACUUACACUUAACCAUCAAGAAUUGGAAAAUUCAAGAGUUUGGAAACAGAUAUAGAGGCUAGCAAUUUGUUUUCUCAAAGUUUCUUGUUAGUAACAUAUACAAAAACUUAUUGUUUUGCCAAUUUUGCAGAUAAGGCUUCGCAGUUAAGUACAUAUCUAUAAUGUCUCAAGUCAACCAAAAGAAAUUGACUAUCCAGUAUGUAGAAAGAAGAAUGGACAAGAAAAAACAUGGUGUCAUGGUGUAAAAAAUUAAAAAUGCAAAAUGGGCGGGCAAUAUGUCAUAUUUAAGGUUUUUUUUCAGACAGAAAUCAGACCAGAAAGAGUGAAAAUCAACUAGGAAAUAAAAAAAUAAAUAGAUAGAUCAGACAAGUAGGUAAAACCAUGUGUAAUACUAGUGAAGAUUCAAACAGAAAUUAGAGGUUUACAUAUUUCUUGUGUUUUAUCAUGUUAUCUAUCACUUUUCAAAAGGCCAAUUCAGACAGAUUGCUAUCAUUUCUCUUUUCGAUAAUAGACCUGAUUUAAUGAAUCAAUUUGAAGUUAAUGAUAAACUAGAAAAUUGGAGAAAAAUGUAAUUAAAUUGCUGCACAUUGAAGAUCAAUUAGCAAAAGCCAUCAGCUAUGCAUUUGAAGGAAUUUGGUAUUUUAUGGAUUUGGGAAGCUGUGCGGUGUGCGGUGUGCGGUUGUGCCUGUGAGCAGGUGGCGGCUGAGCCAGAAUCGAGGAAAUCAGGACAGGUGAAGGCAAGUUGGUGUUGGUCGACUUGGACCAAAUUAAAAAAACAAUAACUAGUUUUCCAAUUAAGUCCUAUAAAAAUAAAAUUUGAAAAAUGAUCUGGCUUGGCAUGGUCCUCUCAAGCCCCUUCUUUUCUUCAGCUCCAGCCAGCUAGAGCAAAAUUACGUAGCUUUUCAUCGUUGCCAAACCUACCGUUCAGCGGUUAUGAACUACCAUUCUUCCAAUUGAAAAUUGGAGUGGUUUCGACAAUCGAUACCCAUUGCACUUCCGAGUCAUGGACAGAUCUUGCUCCCCCACCACUCAGAAGCUUGAACAGAAAGUCGCGAAUCCACCCACUAAACACGCCCGGUUCACUGCCCUUGACUCGGACCUCACUCUGACUUACUCAACGGCAUCACUACAAUACUCAAGGACAAGCUCAAACUGCCUGACCGGCUCGGCAGUUUAAUCGACGGCUUCGAGGACAAAGAACAUAAAAUCGGAGGUUCAAGUUCAAAACUUGCAUCUAGCGAGGAGCUCGAGAUCAUCCUGCCCAACGGGCUCGGGUCCAGUCGACAUAAGGAGCUCGAUGACGGUGAUGGGUUGUACUGUACCAAGGAAAAGAAGACAAAUGAAGAUGCGGUAUUUCGGGCAAGUGAGCGAUUCUAUAAAGACGGAGCGGGUUCAGUUUCGGCUAUGGCAUAUUACAAAUGCUAGGGGAAAAAGAAUGAUCAGGGUUUAGUGACCUUGGAGGAGAUUUUCUUUUAAUGAUUAGAAAAGAAAUGUCAUUAGACAUUGAAUGAAAGAAGUUAUACAAGAGCCAAAAAACCUCCUUAAAAAAGAAGAAAAAGAAAGAAAAAAAUAAUGAUAAAAAAUGAAAUCACUCAAAACCCACAGAAUCCUGGGUCUCAAUCAGGUUUCAUUCAGAACUUGAUGAAAAUAAUUAGUUCAAUUAUAAAGGAAUCAAACAACUUCUACCAUUUCUAAUAGGUCAUUCAUCGAACAGUUGGUGCAUUACUCCGAAAACGAACUCUGAACUACCAAAAAAAUAUCAUUCGUUGUUUGAAUUCAAUCACAGAAUCAUGUCGGAAAUUCAUUAUAAUUGCUAAUGGUCGAAAUAAGAAACAAGCCAACAACAGCUUACCUGUUGUUGCCCACUAAGAUUCGAAAAGCACCGUCACUUAUCUCCUUUCUUCAUCAAACAAGAGAGUCCCUCUCCUUUUCCAGCCUCCAUUCUCCUUCUUACUCCUUCCAGGACCUUCCCUUUUCUCUCAAUCUUCUGUUGACCCAGAAAUCAAAAUAUCGUACUUCCCAAUUGCUCCAACAGUCAAUCACCCUUCACGCGUGCCCUCUCGCCUCUUCGCGAUCUCGGCUUUCCCGCUGCUCAUCCGACAAAAAUCGUGGACUGCUUCGCUACUCCACCCUGUUUCUCUUGCAACGCCCCCUGUUUCUCCAAAGUCUCCCUUCAAUUCGUGAUGAAAAUCCGAUAGGCUGAUAACUUAA
rnacentral:lncRNA from 1 species